ensembl:lncRNA
CCUCAUCUGUGCUGCAGUCGAUAGGUAGGUGACUGACUGUUUUGUGCGGUGCUGAGUUUUGGGCAGGUAAAGUUCUUUUACGCGAUCCAGCUACGGCCUGAACGUCUUUCUUUUCGCCGCUUUUCUCAGAUCACAACUCAAUCAGAACCUGUCUCCUGGCAAUUCCUCCAAAUCUCUGUGCAGUUUCACCAUCACUGACCACGCCUGUUCCUCGGUAAGACUAUUUUAUGUGAGCUGCGAAUCCUAGAAAAAGAUUUGGCUUUUGCCACAUUGUCAUCCUGAGACAAAUCUCCAUAGGCUGCGAAUGUCUUUGCUUAAUUUCUUAUCUUAUAUUUUCCCAGGCUACACAUCUCACAUCCACCAACUUGGCCUCGCUGCUCAAAUGCUCUGUGGAAAACCAAACGUCAUACCCGGUCGUGGUCUGGAAACUUUUCUUUGAAAAAGCUUCUCCUAUGCUAGAUCAGGCUCUGGAGACAUUCGCCACCAUGGUAAAUCCAGUCCCACAAUUUCACAAAGUGACUGUGACUCCCGGUGUAAAUUCUGCAUCAAGCUAAAUCAUUUCUCCAAUUAUAGGCCCCCAACACCAGCAAUCCAUCCUUAUCACAUGCUCUUGAGGCUAUUGGAGAGGUGAUAAUUGCCAACUUCAGCCAAGCACAACUGCAGAGUGAUGGCUUUGUCCGCAGGUGGUUCCACACAAAGAUUCGCCCAUUUUUGGCCUAUCCAUCGCCCAACUUCCUAUUCUGCCUUAGCACCAACAACUUCAGCUGCCUCACGUACCAGACUGUGUAAGCGAAUAUUUGAUAUAUUUCUCCACUGUAAGCACCAUUUCAGAGGAACCUGCAGUGUUCUGGUUGUUUUGAUGUUGAAACCUCUCCUCUCAAAUUUUAGCAUCAAGGCAUUCAGCGGCCAAACGGCAUCCAUGGAGAGAGAAAGCCAGCAAGCAGUCCUCACUCACUUCAUCAAACCAUUCCUUUCAAAAAAUGACUCAUCAGAUCCUGGCUGUGUCUCAUUUAGCGGAGGUAGCAUAGAGUGGCUACAGGCGAACCUUGGCAACUUCUCUGGUUUUGCAACCUUGCAGGAUUUGCAAGCCCUCAAUUCCAACUUCUCUAGUGUACGUGCCGACUGCGAUUGUACUUUUCUUCUCUCACACUGAAAUGUCUGGCCUAUGGUUUUGCAGUUGUUUGAUUUCCUAUCAAUUGCCUUUUGUAGGCUGAUUCGUUGUCAGCGCUCACUCCUGCUCAGCUGGCACAGUUGACACUGAGCUUGGCAGCCUCCAAUGACACAGACCAAAUCGACAUUGUGUUGGAGCGACUUGAGGAGGGCAAUGCUCUGGAAAAUGUAGAUGACUUCCUGACACAGCUGGCAGCAAAUGGAGA